rnacentral:rRNA from 1 species
CAGCAGCCGCGGUAACACGGAGGGUGCAAGCGUUAAUCGGAAUUACUGGGCGUAAAGCGCACGCAGGCGGUCUGUCAAGUCAGAUGUGAAAUCCCCGGGCUUAACCUGGGAACUGCAUUUGAAACUGGCAGGCUAGAGUCUUGUAGAGGGGGGUAGAAUUCCAGGUGUAGCGGUGAAAUGCAUAGAGAUCUGGAGGAAUACCGGUGGCGAAGGCGGCCCCCUGGACAAAGACCGACGCUCAGGUGCGAAAGCGUGGGGAGCAAACAGGAUUAGAUACCCCAGUAGUCCCUGUCUCUUAUCC